AAAGGAAUAGACGGGGGCCCGCACAAGCGGCGGAGCAUGCGGAUUAAUUCGAUGCAACGCGAAGAACCUUACCAAGGCUUGACAUACACCGGAACACAGCAGAGAUGUUGUGGCCUUCGGGCUGGUGUACAGGUGGUGCAUGGUUGUCGUCAGCUCGUGUCGUGAGAUGUUGGGUUAAGUCCCGCAACGAGCGCAACCCUUGUCUCAUGUUGCCAGCACGUUACGGUGGGGACUCAUGAGAGACUGCCGGGGUCAACUCGGAGGAAGGUGGGGAUGACGUCAAAUCAUCAUGCCCCUUAUGUCUUGGGCUUCACGCAUGCUACAAUGGCCGGUACAACGGGUUGCGAUACUGUAAAGUGGAGCGAAUCCCUAAAAGCCGGUCUCAGUUCGGAUUGGGGUCUGCAACUCGACCCCAUGAAGUCGGAGUCGCUAGUAAUCGCAGAUCAGCAACGCUGCGGUGAAUACGUUCCCGGGCCUUGUACACACCGCCCGU
rnacentral:rRNA from 1 species